CCUACCUAUACACAAUCAAACACACUUUUAGGGGCUAUGUUUAAAGACUGAGGAAAUUCAUGUUACUUAGCAUUCCAGGGCAGACCCCAACGUGGUGGUGCACACUUCCGUUUACUGCCAGAAAGAUGUGGGUUGGGCUCUAGGGAGAUGAGAAGGGUCAUGUGAUAUCCAGCUCACCAAUCAGAAACUAAGGUUACACCAAAGUCCGCCCACCUUCUUCCAUCGGCUAAUCCCGGCUCUACCUGAGAUGGUGUUUGCAGGGGAGGACCUCUCUGUUUCUGAGAACCUGGCGUUGUGACUACCUAAUUGAGGAUGGGGGAAAGAGGAGAGAAGCAGUAGCAGUUUAAAUUAAUGCAGGGUGAGACGGCCAGUAGCCCUAAGAAGGAGGUAUUCUCUGUCACUACCCUUACUAGCAGGACUGGCAACCCAGGUCUUGAUGCCCGGAUUCCCCCAUUCUCAAGUGACCCUCCUGAUGCUGAAGCUGAUGCUCCAAUACUUUUGGCCAUCUUAUUCAACGAGCCAACUCAUUGGAAAAGACCCCGAUGCUGGGAAAUAUUGAAGGCAGGAGGAGAAGGGGAGGACAGAGGAUGAGAUGGUUGGAUGGCAUCACUGACUCAAAGGACAUGAGUUUGAGCAAGUUCCAGGAAAUGGUAAAGGACAAGGAAGCCUGGCGUGCUGCAGUCCAUGGGUUGCAAGGAGUAUGACACGAUUGAACAAGUGACACUUUACCACUGAGCUCAGCUCCUGAAAGCUUCCUUCACCGCUGCCUCCAUUUUCAUUAUCACUGACGGCCCACACCUGCUCUCUCUAAACUCUGCGCAGGUGAAGGAGGUCUGGUCUUCGCAACUGCACGAGUUCUCACUCAGAGCUCAGAGGUACAGAGGCGCAGAAGGGCCAGAAUUCACCCCGUGAACCUGGGACCGAAGCUGCUACAUCGCCGAGCGUCACUGGCUCAGUCAGCAGACGAGCGCCGACCCUGGUUUAGGGAGAAAGCAUGCCAAAAAGCGGCCCCACGGGGAAGAGAGUGCCCAGACCUGGGAUCCUCCAGCAUGCUCUCUGUUUUUUUGAGCUUCCGGGACUCAGAGGCCUGACUCUUGCUGCCGUUUACUCCAAAACCUCCACCCAGCUGGCGCACUCCUUUCUCAGGCUUCUGUCUGGAGUCCUGCAUCCCGGCCAGGCCCUGCUCUCCACGGGUACGACCCCACGCCAGGCCCAGUCCUCCUGAGCCAACACAGGUACAGUCAGUUCACACUACAGAACCGCUUCCAGAAGACUUUGGAUUUCGUAAGAGGUACCACCAGUGGGGACCUUUGGGAAACUUGUAAUUUCCCAGGAUAAUUCUGGCAUCGUCAAGUCAUGUUUGACUCUCUGAGACCUCAUGGACUGUAGCCCUCCAGGUUACUGUCCUUCACUAUCUCCCGGGGUUUGGUCAAACUCAUGUCCAUUGAGUUGAAGGCCCUACGUGCUAAUAACUGUCACUUUAGGGCUCAGGAUUUCAACAUAUGAAUAUGGGGAUAUUAUAAGCAUUCAGUCUGUAAUAGGAGGUUUCCAGCUAUCUUUCUGUUAUUGAUUUCUAGCCUAAUUCCAUUAUGAUCUGAUAGUAUACUUCGUAUAGUUUUUAGUCUUUUAAAUUUGUUCAGGUGUUUAUGCAAUCAAAUGCAUCUUGAUGAGUGUUCUAUGUGAUUGAGAGGAAUAUAUAAAGGCAUACCUCAUCUUAUUGUGCUUUGCUUUAUUGUACUUCCUAUAUAUUGCAUGUAUUACAAACUGAUGGUUUGUACCAGCCCUGUGUUACGCAAGUCUAUCAUUUUUCCAAUAACAUUUGCUCACUGUAUGUCAGUGUCACAUACUGGUAUUCUCACAAGAUUUCCUAUGUUUUUGUUAUAUGUUAUGGUAAUCUGGGAUCUUUGAUAUUACUGUUGCAAAAAGAUUUUGACCUACUGAAGGCUAAGAUAAUGGUUAGCAUUUUUUAUCAAUAAAGCAUUUUUAAAUCAGGGUAUGUACAUUAUUUUGACAUAAUGCUAUUGCACA